rnacentral:rRNA from 1 species
CCCUUAGAUGUCCUGGGCUGCACGCGCGCUACACUGAUGUGUCCAGUAAGCACCUAACCUCUUCCGAAGGGAACGGGUAACCUUAGCAAAGCACAUCGUGAUGGGGAUAGAUUAUUGCAAUUAUUAGUCUUGAACGAGGAAUUCCUAGUAAGCACAAGUCAUCAGCUUGUGUUGAUUACGUCCCUGCCCUUUGUACACACCGCCCGUCGCUCCUACCGAUUGAAUGUUCCGGUGAAUACUUCGGACUGCGAGGUCUGCAGUUUCUGCGUUCCUUGCGGAAAGUUGAAUAAACCUUAACAUUUAGAGGAAGGAGAANUCGUANCA